rnacentral:rRNA from 1 species
UACGUAGGGUGCGAGCGUUGCCCGGAAUUACUGGGCGUAAAGGGCUCGUAGGUGGCCAACUAAGUCAGACGUGAAAUCCCUCGGCUUAACCGGGGAACUGCGUCUGAUACUGGAUGGCUUGAGUUUGGGAGAGGGAUGCGGAAUUCCAGGUGUAGCGGUGAAAUGCGUAGAUAUCUGGAGGAACACCGGUGGCGAAGGCGGCAUCCUGGACCAACACUGACACUGAGGAGCGAAAGCCAGGGGAGCAAACGGG